UGAAUGGACUCUGCCUCUCUGUCUACCUCACUGCUGUUUUGCAUCUGCUCAGUGUGGGACAGGAGAGACUCAGUGCUUUGUAAGAAAGUUGGGGUCCUGUGAGAUAAUUUUGCCUAACAGGAGGCCAGUUCCGGGGAGGGCGGGGCUCAGUUGUAAUGCUCAAUAGGUCAGGCAUAGUGACUGCAUUUUCGGCUUGGAACACUUUGGAUUUAUGAUGGGGUCUCUGAGGCUCUCGACCCCACAGUAAGCCAAGGAGCCCCUGUGUGGUCUGGACUUGGUGUCCCGGCAACUGUUCUCAGCGACUGACUUAUGCCAACUCCUUUCAGCAGGGACUUUAUUACCACCACUGUGUGGACUGAGAAACUGAAAUUCAGAGAGGGCCGGUGAGUCUGUGGCCACAUCACCCUGAACACACCUGAUCAAGUGAUGUGCCUGAGGCCAAACACUCUGGAAGUCCUGGGAGCCAGAUGCCAAUCCCUGCUCAGACAUUUCCUGACACGGCUCUACCCUUCUCUGAGCCUCAGUUUAUUCUCCUUUCAAAUGCUCUAAAAGUGUGUUACUGGAGCCCCGGGAGAAGCAACGGAGUGAGCCACACAGCCCCUGCAAGCAGUACAGAAGGAAGAAAUGAUGACUAUACAGAAAGAUUUCUGCCAUCCUGGGACAGAAGAGAUCUCUUGAAGCUGUGAUGUUUCUCAGUUCCAGAGUUCCCAUUUCACAGGCAGAGAGGCUGAGGCUCCGUGAUACACCCCAAGCCUCCGGAUCAUGAAGGUUCUAGCCUGAGAUCUCAGUCCGUGGCUGCCAGACUCCACCUGUUAAGAAGUGAGGGUAAAGAAAAGACUACAGGGUGUGGGCGAUCUGGAAGCCUCUGCCUUG